rnacentral:rRNA from 1 species
GCCUACGGGACGCAGCAGUGGGGGAUAUUGCACAAUGGGGGAAACCCUGAUGCAGCGACGCCGCGUGGGUGAAGAAGCGCCUCGGCGCGUAAAGCCCUGUCAGCAGGGAAGAAAAUGACGGUACCUGAAGAAAAAGCAUCGGCUAACUCCGUGCCAGCAGCCGCGGUAAUACGGAGGAUGCGAGCGUUAUCCGGAUUUAUUGGGUUUAAAGGGUGCGCAGGCGGCCUGUUAAGUCAGCGGUAAAAGCCCGGGGCUCAACCCCGGCGAGCCGUUGAAACUGGCGGGCUGGAGUUGGAGAGAAGUAC